GACGUAGGGCGCGAGCGUUGUCCGGAUUUAUUGGGCGUAAAGAGCUCGUAGGCGGCUUGUCGCGUCGUUCGUGAAAACCUGCAGCUCAACUGCAGGCUUGCGGUCGAUACGGGCAGGCUAGAGUUCGGUAGGGGAGACUGGAAUUCCUGGUGUAGCGGUGAAAUGCGCAGAUAUCAGGAGGAACACCGGUGGCGAAGGCGGGUCUCUGGACAUUUCCUGACGCUGAGGCACGAAAGCCAGGGGAGCAAACGGG
rnacentral:rRNA from 1 species